rnacentral:rRNA from 1 species
CCUACGGGAGGCAGCAGUGAGGAAUAUUGGUCAAUGGUCGGGAGACUGAACCAGCCAAGCCGCGUGAGGGAUGAAGGUACAGAGUAUCGUAAACCUCUUUUGUCAGGGAACAAAGGCGGGGACGUGUCCCCGGCUGAGUGUACCUGAAGAAAAAGCAUCGGCUAACUCCGUGCCAGCAGCCGCGGUAAUACGGAGGAUGCGAGCGUUAUCCGGAUUUAUUGGGUUUAAAGGGUGCGCAGGCGGUCUGUUAAGUCAGCGGUCAAAGCCCGGGGCUCAACCCCGGCCCGCCGUUGAAACUGGCAGUCUCGAGUUGGAGAGAAGUAGGCGGAAUGCGCGGUGUAGCGGUGAAAUGCAUAGAUAUCGCGCAGAACUCCGAUUGCGAAGGCAGCAUGCCGGCUCCACACUGACGCUGAGGCACGAAAGCGUGGGUAUCGAACAGGAUUAGAUACCCGGGUAGUC